rnacentral:rRNA from 2 species
AAACCAACAGGGAUUGCCCCAGUAACGGCGAGUGAAGCGGCAACAGCUCAAAUUUGAAAUCUGGCCCCCUCCUUCGGGGGCCCGAGUUGUAAUUUGCAGAGGAUGCUUCUGGCGCGGCGCCUUCCGAGUUCCCUGGAACGGGACGCCAUAGAGGGUGAGAGCCCCGUCCGGUCGGACGCCUAGCCUGUGUGAAGCACCUUCGACGAGUCGAGUAGUUUGGGAAUGCUGCUCAAAAUGGGAGGUAUAUGUCUUCUAAAGCUAAAUACCGGCCAGAGACCGAUAGCGCACAAGUAGAGUGAUCGAAAGAUGAAAAGCACUUUGAAAAGAGGGUUAAACAGUACGUGAAAUUGUUGAAAGGGAAGCGCUCAUGACCAGACUUGGGCCCGGGGGAUCACCCGGCGUUCUUCGCCGGGGCACUUCGCCGGCUGCCCAGGCCAGCAUCAGUUCGUGGCGGGGGACAAAGGCUUCGGGAACGUAGCUCCCUCCGGGGAGUGUUAUAGCCCGCUGCGCAAUGCCCUGCCGCGGACUGAGGUUCGCGCUUCCGCAAGGAUGCUGGCGUAAUGGUCAUCAGCGAC